rnacentral:lncRNA from 1 species
UUCACAGCGUGCUCCACCUGUGAGUGGUGAAACUGGUUUAAGCUCAGCUGCUGGGCUUGACACAACUCCGUCUGCUCCUCCUGCGUACAAUUCUGAAGUCGUAGCGGACCGAGUGGUACCUCCGAUCAGAAUCGAGAGUAGUGACAUGACACUCCGAGGUGGUAAAAUCAAGACACUUUACUCAGUGAAGAAAACUAAUGCUGAUAAUUUGCUUUCAGAGACACUGAAUGAGACUGACCUUUGUCCGAUGAUUGAGAUUGCAGGACAUGACGGACCGGUUCAUGUUUAUAGACCAUGGACAGCUUCGGAUGUUAGGAGAGCUAUUGAGAAUAUCCCUCAUCCUCGUGAGUCUCUUAAACAGUUUGAUGCUGGGAUUAAAGGAUUAAUUCACAGUUAUAGGUUAGACUCCACUGAAGUUGAAGUGGCAGUGCGUGCUAUUUUAACUACCGAGUGGGCUUUGACGGCUGGUAAUUGGCGUCCACUACGGAAUAACAUAGCAAUUAAAUAUGCAACUGUUGAUGAUCAGUCUGGCUCAGCUGUACUUGGAAAUUUUUCAGCAUUGAUGGAGAAAAUUACAACACGCUACAAAAAAACACCUGAUUGGAUUCAGAUAAAUAGGUGUAUUCAGAAAGACGAUGAAGACAUUGAAACUUAUUUUGGCAGGUUAUCAACUGUUUUUGAUUUUCACAGUGGAAUUGAGAAACCAGGAGAUGUGAAUGAUACCAGCACUCCCUACUCACAACAGUUAAAGAAUGCCUUGCUUACUGGAGCAAGACAUGAACUCUCACAGUUUGUAACAAAACAUAUGGCAAACCACAGAACUGCUAACUUAAAUGAUGUGUUAGAACACCUUAAACAUGCUGAGAAAUGGUUUAAAGACAAAGAGAGGAAAAAUAAGAAGAAGACUAAUUCCAUCUUCUUCCAUGAGGAUGACACUGACAUUUAUCUUAACUCUGACUCUCCUUCUCCUCAGAACAGGUCACCCAUGUCUCAAAACAGGACUUGGGGGAAUAGGAGUAACCUCAGAGGAAAUGAGACCCAAAACAAAUUCAGGUCACAAGAUAACGAUGUGUGCUACGUUUGUGGAAAAACUGGUCACUGGGCAAGAAUGUGUAAACAGCGAAAGGGAGUGAAGGAUGUGAGACAGAGACAUCCUGCUCAGCAAUGACUAGAUAGAGACACAGUGAGUGUACAUGGUGGUCUGGGUAAAGGUGAGAAUUUAACAGUAUAUGACAC